rfam:Vigna radiata var. radiata cultivar VC1973A scaffold_1204, whole genome shotgun sequence
AAAUACCGAUGCGGGACUCAACCGAGGCCCCGUGAUCGGAAUGAGCGCCCCGUAAACAAGGCGACGAGGACCCAUUGGAGGGCAAGUCUGGUGCCAGCAGCCGCGGUAAUUCCAGCUCCAACAGCGUAUACUAAUGUUGUUGCGGUUAAAAAGCUCGUAGUCAGAAUUGUGUUCCGCGCCGACGGUUCGACGGGCUCAGUCCCGUUGCACACCGACGCGUUAGCGGAACAUCCGGCCGGUGGCGGUAGCGGCGCCGCCCGCCGGGCUCGCCCGUCCGCUUGCGGACUCGGGACGUUCGGCCCGGCCCCUCGCCGCGCGGAGCCGUUAGCCCACAUCCCGCUUCGGCGGAUCAAGCGCGGCCCGCCGGGGGUCCUCCGGGACCCGGUGUCCGGGUCCCCGCUCGGCAUUCCCGCCGCGGUUCGUCCGCGCGCGGGAGAGCGGGCCCGAUCGGGCUCACCGGCGGCGCGGUGAGGCACCGCGCCUCGCCCGGCCUCGGCCGGGAGACCGUCCGCCAAUCUUCCCGCUGCGGUGCUCUUCAUCGAGUGUCGCUGCGGGCCGGCACACUUACCUUGAACAAAUUAGAGUGCUCAUCGCGAGGCGUUCAAAAAACGUCCGAAAGGGCGUGGCCCGCAUACAGGUGCAUGGGAUAACAGAAUACGACCUCGGCUCCGGGGUUUCGUCGGUUCACCGGGCCCGCCGACGACCCGGAAGCGUCGGACACCCGCCUUCGGGCGGGCACCGGCGUCUGACGGCGCGGCGGGUCUUUGCGGGGUCCGAGGUAAUGAUCGAUAGGGGCGGACGGGGGCAUCCGUAUUGCGACGUUAGAGGUGAAAUUCUUGGAUCGUCGCAAGACGAACAGCUGCGAAGGCGCUUGUCAAGCACGUUCCCGUUGAUCAAGAACGAAAGUCAGAGGUUCGAAGGCGAUCAGAUACCGCCCUAGUUCUGACCGUAAACUAUGCCAGCUAGCGAUCCGCCGACGAUCCCUCCGUUAUGGCUCGGCGGGCCGCUUCCGGGAAACCAAAGCUAACGGGUUCCGGGGGAAGUAUGGUUGCAAAACUGGAACUUAAAGGAAUUGACGGAAGGGCACCACCAGGAGUGGAGCCUGCGGCUUAAUUUGACUCAACACGGGAAACCUCACCAGGCCCGGACACCGGAAGGAUUGACAGAUUGAGAGUUCUUUCUCGAUUCGGUGGGUGGUGGUGCAUGGCCGUUCUUAGUUGGUGGAGUGAUUUGUCUGGUUAAUUCCGAUAACGAACGAGACCCCGUCCUGCUAGUUAGGCGAUCCGGGCGCCUCCCGCUCUGGGGCGGCGGUUCGUUCGCGGGCCGUCGUUCCUGGACGUGGGGCUCUAAGCCCGGGACCCGGUAUCGUGAUCCGCACCCCGUCCGCCUCUCGGGGCGAGACCCCGUCGGGGCGGCCGUCGGCGCGGUUCGCGCCGUUGUCGGCGGUCGUUUACCGGCGGGAGCAGUGGGUCGGAGGGCCCGGUCCUCUCGGGGGCCGGACACGCUCGCUACCGGCGGAAUUUUACUCAGCUUCUUAGAGGGACAAACGGCGCAGUCAGCCGUGCGAUACGGAGCGAUAACAGGUCUGUGAUGCCCUUAGAUGUCCUGGGCGGCACGCGUGCUACAAUGGACGGAUCAGCGUGUUCUACCCUACGUCGAGAGACACCGGUAACCCCCUGAAUCCCGUCCGUGGAAGGGACCGGGGCUUGCAAUUGUUCCCCGCGAACGAGGAAUUCCCAGUAGUCGCGAGUCAUAACCUCGCGGCGAUUAAGUCCCUGCCCUUUGUACACACCGCCCGUCGCUACUACCGAUCGAGCGGUUCGGCGAGGACCUCCUACCGGCUCGCCGGCGAUCCGCUUCGUGCGGGGCCGCCGGUGCAGCAUGCGGUUUUGUGCCGCGGAAAGUCGACCGAGCCCGAUCGUUUAGAGGAAGUAAAAGUCGUAACAAGGUUUCCGUAGGUGAACCUGCGGAAGGAUCAUUG